rnacentral:lncRNA from 1 species
CCAGAUCCUAUAGGCACCGUCCAACCCCAUAAGCAUUGCACAGAUCCUUUAGGGCUCCCCCAGAUCCUAUAGGGCUCCCCCUGACCCUAUAGGCACCGCCCAACCCCGUAAGCCUCGCCCAGAUCCUAUAGGGCACCUCCAGAUCCUAUAGGGCUCCCCCUGCCCCUAUAGGCACUGCCCAGAUCCUAUAGGGCUCCCCCAGAUCCUAUAGGGCUCCCCUUGCCCCUAUACACACCUUCCAAACCCCAUAGGCAUUGCCCAGAUCCUAUAGGCACCCCCUGAUCCUAUAGGACUCCGCCUGCCCCUAUAGGCACCACACAGAUCCUAUUGGUCAUCCCCUGUCCCUAUAGGCACCGCCCAACCCCAUAAGCCUCGCCCAGAUCCUAUAGGGCACCCCCAGAUCCUAUGGGGCUCCCCCUGCCCCUAUAGGCACCGCUCAACCCCGUAAGCAUCGUCCAGAUCCUAUAGUUGCCCCCAGAUCCUAUGGGGCUCCCUCUGCCCCUAUAG